AUUGAACGCUGGCGGCAGGCUUAACACAUGCAAGUCGAGCGGGGGAGGUUGCUUCGGUAACUGACCUAGCGGCGGACGGGUGAGUAAUGCUUAGGAAUCUGCCUAUUAGCGGGGGACAACAUCUCGAAAGGGAUGCUAAUACCGCAUACGUCCUACGGGAGAAAGCAGGGGACCUUCGGGCCUUGCGCUAAGAGAUGAGCCUAAGUCGGAUUAGCUAGUUGGUGGGGUAAAGGCCUACCAAGGCGACGAACUGUAGCGGGUCUGAGAGGAUGAUCCGCCACACUGGGACUGAGACACGGCCCAGACUCCUACGGGAGGCAGCAGUGGGGAAUAUUGGACAAUGGGGGGAACCCUGAUCCAGCCAUGCCGCGUGUGUGAAGAAGGCCUUUUGGUUGUAAAGCACUUUAAGCGAGGAGGAGGCUACUGGUAUUAAUACUACCGGAUAGUGGACGUUACUCGCAGAAUAAGCACCGGCUAACUCUGUGCCAGCCGCCGCGGUAACAC
rnacentral:rRNA from 1 species